UCGGGAAUUUUGGACAAUGGGGGCAACCCUGAUCCAGCAAUGCCGCGUGAGUGAAGAAGGCCUUCGGGUUGUAAAGCUCUUUUGUCAGGGAAGAAACGGUAGUAGCGAAUAACUAUUACUAAUGACGGUACCUGAAGAAUAAGCACCGGCUAACUACGUGCCAGCAGCCGCAGUAAUACGUAGGGUGCAAGCGUUAAUCGGAAUUACUGGGCGUAAAGCGUGCGCAGGCGGUUGUGUAAGUCAGAUGUGAAAUCCCCGGGCUCAACCUGGGAAUUGCAUUUGAGACUGCACGGCUAGAGUGUGUCAGAGGGGGGUAGAAUUCCACGUGUAGCAGUGAAAUGCGUAGAUAUGUGGAGGAAUACCGAUGGCGAAGGCAGCCCCCUGGGAUAACACUGACGCUCAUGCACGAAAGCGUGGGGAGCAAACAGGAUUAGAUACCCUAGUAGUCCCUGAGCGGGCUGGCAAGGCGCAU
rnacentral:rRNA from 1 species